GGGGCGGGCCGGGCCGGGUGGAGGGCGGGCUCGUCCCGCCCGCCUUGGGGCGUGGCGGUCAGGUACAAAAUGGCGCCCGGCGCAGUUCUGUGGGAAGGUGUUGGCGGCAGAACGGUCGGUACGUGUGUAGACGUUUAUGGGACAAUAUUUUUUUUUAUACUUCUGCUGGUGUGAGGAGAGGUUAAACAGUUUUUUGUUGGCCCCAGUAGCCGUUGGGUGGUAGCAGAGCGUUGUUCAGUGAGCAGGUGCAGGCUUUUGUAAGCGUUUUGGCGGGAGUUACACAGAAGCAAAGCCCUUACUUCACUCGUGUCUUGCUCUAUCUGAGCGUUCGUAGUGAGGAUGCUACAUGUAUGUGAAAGUUGUAUGCUUCCCGUUGUUGUAUAACCUUCAGUAAAUGUUCAGUAAUGCCUUGUUGUGAUUCCCUUGGUAUAAACCAGCAACUUCUGUGAAGCAACUUACUCGGAGGUGCUGGUGUUGUAGCUGGAGCUGUUCCCUUAAAGGCCUAAACCACGAAAUUGUGGACUGUUUUAUCAGCUGAACAAGACGAAAACCACCUCUAUAUAGGAUGAAAUUAGACAUAUAACUGCCAGCUCGAUGGGUUUCAAUGCCGUUACAGAACAAUGAGUGAUUUUUUUUGUGCUGCUAAAAAUAAAUCGGUGGAAGCACGAUUCUGUUGUGCAGAGAGACACGUUUUCUUUGGAACUGCAGGGAAAAUGGGGGCAGAAAGAGAUCACUCACACAAUAAUUUCUGCUCUCACUGUAAUAUCUGUUUAAGGUUGUCGCAGUAUUCCUGUUGCUAACACAUGGCAUUGGGUUGGUGCUGAGGUAGAAGGAAACCAGCUACCUGCUGUGGGUCUAGUCACACUUUCUCUUUGGAUCUAUUCCACACAAACACAUAAAGACUUGUACAGGUUAAUUAAUAGAAGAGGUUUAAAGAGAUAGUAUGGCUGCAGGCUUAUGAAGUAAGUUGUUUUUUUUUUUUUAAAUGAUUGAAUGAUUUGACAAUGCAGCCAUUACUUAAGCAACUGAUCUCCUUUUCUGUUUGCUUACUCCACUUUUCUCUUAAUUAACGUAACUUUCAUAUGCUUACUGGGCAGUUUUCACAUUUUUACAGGAAGCAUUCAUGAGCUGUAUGCAAGUUUUUCAUUCUCUGCCCUGUUUUUAAGUUGAAAUAGUAUGUUCAUGGAUAUGAACAUACUAUGGAAAUACUAUGUUUUGUUCUUAUGUGGUCUGGAACUGUACAUCAGUAUACGUGUAGAAUGGGAACUGUACAUCAGUAUACGUGUAGAACACAGAGUGUACCAGUAAGAUUAGAUGUGAUUGUAAAGAGAUAGUCCUGUUAUGUUUCAAUUUAGAGUGUGUUGGAUGCAAGUCUCUGGAUUGGACAUACGUCUCUCUAUGCUUUCCUAACAGGUUUGAUAUGUUUAAUUUUGUAGAUUCUCCUAGUUAUGUCAAACAAGAAAAUCUCGAAGGAUUUGUGCCUUCUAAAUGCUAUGAACUUGUCUUUUAUGCUGUAUAUUUCAAAAUCACACUUGGUAUGUUCAGGGUGAGCAGAAAUAGCUCCUUGACUAAUGAUGGAGAUGGGAUUUCCACCUGCAUUUCGGAAAGUGGAGCAUCAGCAGUUCUGUUUUUCAGAACUUAACAUCCAGAAAGAGCUUCCUGGCUGUGGUGUUGGAGUCAUUUGUGUGGUUUGUGACCCUGUUCUGUGCCCUGUGAAACACCUGUGCUGGCAGAAAGGCUGUUGGGAUGCAAGGCCAGCCAUUGCCAUGGUUACAGCAGACACAGAGUCAGUUCUGGUAUUUUAAUGCACAGCAAAUACUCCAGCCUCAGGCAGGAUUAGUGUCGUAAUACCUGUGGAAUAAAAAUCUUUGAGUAUUGUAUGCAUAAUAAUGAGACACUUUUAUAUUCCACAAUACUGGCAAAAUAUAGUCAACAUAACUUGUUGUUUAGGGCCAUGGCUGCCAUCUGGCUGUUAAACCAUUGAAUGAUACCAUGUUAAUUAAUAAAUAUAUACAUUUUACCUAAACUAGUCUAGUCUAACAGUGAAUAUGCCCAAUAUAUUUGCUUAUGUAGAAUAUUGAUAAGGCUGAUUCUUAUGAUCUUCCCUAUAUGAGACAGCGCUUAUGUAUGAGUUUAAUUUUUACAUUCUUAAUUUUGCAUCUGUGGAAAUGUCAAUUGAGACUACUUGCUUGUAUGUAAGUUUUCUGGAAGCUAUGGCUGAAAUCAGAAAAGGUAAGAUUUUGAUGGUGUCAACUUCCUUCCUAUACAAUAAAGUGAUAAACGAAAUGAUCUGUUUUCAAAAUUAUCAAGAAAUGUAUUAGUUUAGAGAGCAGCCAAACUGCAUUUUAUGUAUUUUACAUUUUUUGCUCUAAAUGAAUAACAUACCAAGAUUAUGUAUGCUGAAAAUGAUUAUAGUAACUUUUAAAUCUGUGUUCAUGUGGUAGUGCUUGAAAAUAAUGUUUCUUCAGCUAGUGUAAAUAAAGCUCUUGAUUUUUAAUGGAA